GACGAACGCUGGCGGCGUGCCUAAUACAUGCAAGUCGAACGAACCGCGACUAGGUGCUUGCACUUGGUCAAGGUGAGUGGCGAACGGGUGAGUAACACGUGGGUAACCUACCUCAUAGUGGGGGAUAACAGUCGGAAACGACUGCUAAUACCGCAUAGGACAUAGGAUCACAUGAUCCAGUGAGGAAAGGUGGCGCAAGCUAUCGCUAAGAGAUGGACCCGCGGUGCAUUAGCUAGUUGGUAGGGUAAAGGCCUACCAAGGCGAUGAUGCAUAGCCGACCUGAGAGGGUGAUCGGCCACAUUGGGACUGAGCCACGGCCCAAACUCCUACGGGAGGCAGAAGUAGGGAAUCUUCCGCAAUGGACGCAAGUCUGACGGAGCAACGCCGCGUGAGUGAAGAAGGUCUUCGGAUCGUAAAGCUCUGUUGUUAGAGAAGAACAGCGCAUAGAGUAACUGUUAUGCGUGUGACGGUAUCUAACCAGAAAGCCACGGCUAACUACGUG
rnacentral:rRNA from 1 species